AGCAUUGAAGUAAGGUGUUGUGCCAGAAAGCAGUGCCUUAUGAGCUUUGAAUGGGUUUGACGUUUACCGCAUUCUGGAUAGGUUGUGAAAGCAGCUGAAAGAAAACGUUAG
rnacentral:sRNA from 1 species